rfam:Ajellomyces capsulatus NAm1 scaffold_7 genomic scaffold, whole genome shotgun sequence.
UCCUCGAUGGUCUAGUGGUCAUGAUUUCCGCUUGUCAUGAAAAUGUCAAGCGCGGGAGACCAGGGUUCGAUUCCCUGUCGGGGAG